UGUGAGUGCAUGCGCGUGGG
rnacentral:misc_RNA from 1 species